rnacentral:rRNA from 1 species
UGGGGAAUUUUGGACAAUGGGCGAAAGCCUGAUCCAGCAAUGCCGCGUGUGUGAAGAAGGCCUUCGGGUUGUAAAGCACUUUUGUCCGGAAAGAAAUCCUUGGCUCUAAUACAGUCGGGGGAUGACGGUACCGGAAGAAUAAGCACCGGCUAACUACGUGCCAGCAGCCGCGGUAAUACGUAGGGUGCAAGCGUUAAUCGGAAUUACUGGGCGUAAAGCGUGCGCAGGCGGUUUGCUAAGACCGAUGUGAAAUCCCCGGGCUCAACCUGGGAACUGCAUUGGUGACUGGCAGGCUAGAGUAUGGCAGAGGGGGGUAGAAUUCCACGUGUAGCAGUGAAAUGCGUAGAGAUGUGGAGGAAUACCGAUGGCGAAGGCAGCCCCCCUGGGGCCAAUACUGACGCUCAUGCACGAAAGCGUGGGGAGCAAACAGGAUUAGAUACCCUGGGUAGUCCACGCCCCUAAAACGAUGUCAACUAGUUGUUGGGGAUUCAUUUCCUUAGUAACGUAGCUAACGCGUGAAGUUGACCGCCUGGGGAGUACGGUCGCAAGAUUAAAACUCAAAUGAAUUGACGGGGUCAUAGCUGUUUCCU